UUAUCCUACGGGAGGCAGCAGUGGGGGAUAUUGCACAAUGGGGGAAACCCUGAUGCAGCGACGCCGCGUGAGUGAAGAAGUAUUUCGGUACGUAAAGCUCUAUCAGCAGGGAAGAAUAAUGACGGUACCUGACUAAGAAGCCCCGGCUAACUACGUGCCAGCAGCCGCGGUAAUACGUAGGGGGCAAGCGUUAUCCGGAUUUACUGGGUGUAAAGGGAGCGUAGGCGGCAGGGCAAGCCUGAUGUGAAAGCCCGGGGCUCAACCCCGGGACUGCAUUGGGAACUGCCCCGCUCGAGUGCCGGAGG
rnacentral:rRNA from 1 species